AUGUCGUCGAGCUCGCCGCCCGCCGAGCAGCGGGCGCGCAGCCUCGGCCGCCUCUCGCUGCCCGGCCGCGGCAGCCUGACGCUGGGCAAGAAGCCGCCCGCGCUGGAGCUGGCCGAGGGCGCCCCGAGCGCCCGCUACGCGCCCAUCCUCGCCGCGGGGCAGGCGCCGCCAGCGCCGCCGGGCUGCAGCGGCGAUGCCCCCCGCGAGCGGGAACGGGAGCGGGAGCGGGAACGGGAGCGGGCGCGGCGGCUGCGCGGCGAGGCGGCCGCCGUGGUGCUGAGCGCCGAGUGCCCGCGCCCGCCCGUCAGCCUCGACCCGCGCCCGCCCGUCAGCCUCGACCCGCGCGUCUCCAUCUACAGCCUCCGCAAGCCGCUGCUGAGCCGCAGCAACGUGCAGGGCCGCGUGUACAACUUCUUGGAGCGCCCCACGGGCUGGAAGUGCUUCGUCUACCACUUCGCCGUCUUCCUUAUUGUGCUGAUAUGCCUUAUAUUCAGUGUGCUUUCUACAAUUGAGCAGUAUGCAGCUCUGGCUACAGGAACGUUAUUUUGGAUGGAAAUCGUUUUAGUGGUAUUCUUUGGAACUGAGUACGUGGUUCGGUUAUGGUCAGCAGGAUGCCGCAGUAAAUACGUCGGAGUGUGGGGAAGGCUUCGUUUUGCUAGGAAGCCUAUUUCAAUCAUUGAUUUAAUUGUAGUUGUCGCUUCCAUGAUAGUUCUUUGUGUGGGCUCUAAAGGCCAAGUCUUUGCAACCUCAGCUAUCAGGGGCAUCCGUUUCCUGCAGAUUCUGCGAAUGCUCCAUGUUGACCGUCAGGGUGGAACGUGGAGGCUCUUGGGCUCAGUGGUCUUCAUACACAGACAAGAACUGAUAACGACUCUGUACAUUGGAUUUCUGGGCCUGAUUUUUUCCUCUUACUUUGUGUACCUGGCUGAAAAAGAUGCUGUAAAUGAUUCUGGAGAAACAGAGUUUGGCAGCUAUGCAGAUGCCCUGUGGUGGGGUGUGGUGACUGUUACAACUAUUGGCUAUGGGGAUAAAGUGCCACAGACCUGGAUAGGAAAGACUAUUGCAUCUUGUUUUUCAGUGUUUGCAAUUUCAUUUUUUGCACUACCUGCGGGAAUUCUUGGUUCAGGCUUUGCCCUAAAAGUACAGCAGAAACAACGACAGAAGCACUUCAACCGCCAAAUUCCAGCUGCUGCCUCUCUCAUACAGACUGCUUGGAGAUGCUAUGCAGCAGAAAAUCCAGACUCUUCCACGUGGAAAAUAUAUAUUCGAAAACCUUCUAGGAAUUAUCAUUUACUGUCACCCAGUCCAAAACCGAAGAAAUCAGUGAUGGUCAAAAAGAAGAAAUUUAAGUUAGAGAAGGACAACGGGCCUUCUUCUCCAGAUAAGGUGUUAACUGUUCCACAAAUCACUUACGACCAUGUGACAGAUAACAGGAAAUCCGAUUUCAGUAUUGAGGCAUAUGAAAACUCUGAUUGUCAGCGCUCCUGGCCAUCCUUUUCCACAGACCAGCAGUCCUCCAGCGCUCCUCCCUCACCAGUGAAAAAAAAUCCGGCGUUUUUAGACGUGAGCACAGCACCCUUCAUCAGGACCAACAGCUUUGCAGAUGAGCUUGACCUGGAGGGUGAGACGCUCUUGACCCCAAUAACUCACAUCUCACAGCUGCGAGAGCACCACCGUGCUGCGAUUAAGGUGAUCCGAAGGAUGCAGUAUUUUGUGGCAAAAAAGAAGUUCCAGCAAGCUAGAAAGCCUUACGACGUGCGAGAUGUUAUUGAGCAGUAUUCCCAGGGCCACCUCAACCUGAUGGUGCGAAUCAAGGAGCUACAGAGGAGGCUGGAUCAAUCUAUAGGGAAGCCAUCUCUUUUUAUCACUGUCUCAGAAAAAAGCAAAGACCGAGGGAAUAACACGAUUGGUGCCAGGUUGAACAGAGUGGAAGACAAGAUCACCCAGAUGGACCAGAAGCUGAACCUCAUCACGGAUAUGCUGCAUCAUCUGGUUUCCAGUCAGCAGGGCGGUCACGGCACCAUCAGAGCGUCGCAGAGAGGCAACAACGUUAACUCGGAUCUUUUCCUCCCUAAUAACACCCUGCCGACCUACGAGCAGCUGACAGUGCCAAGAAGAAACGAAGAUGACAUCUCCUGAUGUGGUCACCAUCUGGGCUGGGUUCUUCCCACCUUUCUCAUGUGAAUGAGACUGAAUCUGGAAGGAAUUGAGUUCAUCAGCCAUCCAAGAAAACACAAGACUUGUAUCUAUACUACUGCUCUCAAAUACCUUCUUCUAAAAGUCGCUCCUAAUAGACUAAGGAUUGCCAAGCUGUUUGCUGCCAGGCUAAACUUACUGAAGUUUCAUGUUGAUUUURUUCAAGAACAAAUGAUCACAACUCCUUAUUUCUCAGAAAGACCAAGACAAUCUUAUCCUCUCCAAAAAUAGGACAGCAGCCCACGUGCAAAAGCCAGAAGUGCCUGGACCUGCCGGUCAAGUGCUUGAGCUGGCCCCUAACGCUGCGUAUCCUUCAUCCUUGCAGGAACGGAGGCUCCAGUUCAGGAAGGCCCCUCUCAUCCAGACAGCGUAUGUGAUGAGUUGGGUAGUUUCCUGAAUAACAGCUCAAGAAGCUCAGCUCCUCACAAGAGUUACUAGAGAUAUGAAAGUACCAGCCUUGAUUUAGAGGACCUACAAUCCCCAGAGUUGCAGCUGCAUUAAAAGCAGCAGUGCUUGGCUUAGUGUGAUUUCUCACAUGCACAAAGUGAGCAGGGUUUGAGCUUUGAUUACCAAGGCUGAAGUCCAGACCAUGCAAAAAGUCAGCACCUAUGUAUAAGCCCUGAAGGAGGAACAUCCCUACAGCUGGCAGUAUCAGGAAGCUUGAGGAUUACAGAGCAGCA